AGAGAAUAUUGAGUAAAAGUAAAAACACAUGACUACUAUGAUCAUUAAUCAGGUAGUGAAUGUAAAAAGGGUGCAAUUUGUUUACAGAUGCUACGAAAUAAAAAAUGUGUGCUAAAAUGUUAUAUCUAAAUUUCGGACGGAGGGGUCGCACUACAACAAAAACGGUUUAUAGCGACACUUUUAAAUAUAGGUACAUGGCAAAAAAAUGCUGCUAGCUAAAAUUACCGACACUUUUAAAAAGUGUUGCUAUAUGUGGGGUCGCUAAGUAUAUAGUAACAGUUAAAGAGUGUCGCUAUAACCUAAAAGAGUGUUGCUAAUUUACCAACACUUAUUUAAGCAUUUAGCAACCGCCGAAACUCUAUCUCGUUGGCUGCGGUGGCGGAGGAGGACGACAGGAAAGGCUCUUCGUCUAAAAUUUCAGUAGAUUGAGUGAAGAGAGAAGAAAAGAUGGUAAUUGAUUUUUUCUUUUUUUUUUCUUUUCUGUUUGUAAUCGGACCAAAUAGACUGGGUGUGGUGGGUUGAGUAGAGUAAUCUUUUAUUUUUGGUUGGAUUGAGCUUUAUAUUUAGGCAUUAGUGGAUAUUUUUUUAAGUUUUAGCAUAAAUAGGACACUUACUCAAAAGUGUCC
rnacentral:lncRNA from 1 species